rnacentral:misc_RNA from 1 species
GCAGUAAUUGCCGUAGCGUGGUCUCGCAGUCAUCCGCGUGGCGCAACGACAGCUGCAGAGGAAAUAUCUCAACAGCGGUACCAUGAUAAGGAAACCAGGAUCUGAUGAUAGAAUCCCAGAAAAAUCGAGGGAAACCCUCGAAAAUCGUAGUUACGACUAGUGCGUUUAUUAAUUUUUUUCGUCUACUUACGUUGUAUUACUUGAAGUCGUUUUUUUUUCGCUUGUGAGCAAACACCAUUAUUUUUGUCUUGUAAUGUCUAUAAGUUAGUAGUAGCAACUUAUGUUAAAUAUAAUUAAACACAUUUAAGUUGAAUUGAUGAUGUGUUCUAGUUUUUUUAAAUAAUAUAUUUAAGAAACCUGUUUACAAUUUCGCUUUCAGAUAAAAAGUAAAUAUGCUCAUAUGUGCUAUAAAUACAUUUAUGUAUAUUAUGUAGUAUUAUCUGAGAGAGUAUUGUUUAAAAAUAGGUAUAAGUUUGUGCAAGAAUAUAAAAAAUAGUAAAACUUAUGCAUGAAUUUAUUGAUACA